AGGUCGAGGUGUAGCGUAUGGAAAGGGAAGAAAUGGGCUACAUUCCCUAACACAGUGAAAUACGAACGAUGCACUGAAAUACGCAUCUGAAGGAGGAUUUAGCAGUAAGCAGAAAAUAGAGCGUUCCGCUGAAACCGGCCCUGAAGCGCGCACACACCGCCCGUCACUCUCCCCGAGCUUACUAACUCUGUAGUACUUAAAACCUUAAAACUGCAAAGGGGAGGCAAGUCGUAACAUGGUAAGUGUACCGGAAGGUGCGCUUGGAAAAAU
rnacentral:rRNA from 1 species